CAGCCACAACACUCUAAACCCGUAGCCCAAAGUUCUGCAUCAGACCUCGAACUUCAAAUGCUUCUUCCGAAUUCAUUACUGCUUAGAAAUCCAUGAAACUGGCGUCGAAUCGACCGGAAUUUCGUUAGCUUACCACAGAAUCAAGCGGCAUUUCAAACGGAGUUACGAGGAGUGAGAAAUUACCUUUUUAGUGGAGGUCUGUCCAGAAUACGGGUUUAACCCAAAUCCUUCCAAUUUCUUUCUUUUCCAUUCUCUUCAAUUUCUUCCAAGCUUCAAUCUUUAGUCUCCACUGUUACAAGUCCACAUCUUUGCUGAAAUUCCAAACUAACAGUGAAACAUGACUUCUUUCAACCUUCACUUUCAAGGGAAAUCGGAUAAUAACUAUCUCAUUCUCUAACCAUCAAAAUCGGUCAAAUCAACACAGAAGAGGGGAAAGUUUAGGAAUGCUUACAUUACAUUGGUUUCCAACAUCUACAAGCUACCCAUAAGAAAUUCGUGCAAAUGGUGGAAGGUAUGAGUUUGUGAGGAAGAAAGGGGUUUGUGGCUAAGAGUGGGAAGGAGAGGAA
rnacentral:lncRNA from 1 species